ACCUCCCCCCCGGAGAGCAACGCCGCGCGCUCGGAUCUUGGGCUAUUAAAAAAGGAGCUACGUGAUUGCCUCGACUUUAAUAAGUCAAUUAGAGCCUGUCCGUUUCGGAGGGCUCUGCAGCGCGUCUGGGGGCCACUCUCAGGACCCGACCCCAGGCCGCCCCAGGGCGGGGGCCAGGCGGAGGAAGACCCGCGAGGCUCCACCACGUCCGCGCUCACCGCUGCGGGGCAGGAGGUGCCGCGGCACCCAGACCGCAGACGCACCCAUUUCCCGGACGGACCCCCUCCCAGGUCUGUUUCCUCGGGAAGACGGUUUGGCCGAGUGAGGAGUAAAUAGGACAGAGACAGAAGAUUCUAAAAUGUGACCAUCUAACCUCCCCCCACCACACACCUUUGCGGGGGACAAAUGGAUUCCUUGAAUGACUCCUUCCCACCGCCCAGGGGUUUAUGCCCGUACUUCAGUCUAACAGAAAAAGUGGUACUUGGUGGGUGUUUAGACUCAUGAGAUUUGGCAAUUAAGGGUCAGACAAUUCUUGUAUCGAUUCAUUCAUUUUUUAAAAAACCUUUGCUGAAAUGAGUCUAUGUGCCCCUCAUUUUGUAUAUAACACUUUUACAGACUUUUUCCAAUUAAUCAAGAGUACACUGAUCUAUAAUCUCUACUGAGUUUUUCAGUUUGUGGUGUUGUCAGGAUGGACUCCUUGGAAUUCUCCAGUCACUGAAAAUACUUGCAUUUUACCUAGUGUUAACACAAUCUUGUUGACUAAAUUGUGCUGGUUAAGGCAAAGCAAAGUAUACAUUAACUUAUGUGAAAGUGUGAAGUUGUAUUUGGCAAGUUACUUAGUAUUUCUACUACUUUUGUGUAAGACAAGGUAGUUGGACUGGAUGGCCUUGAAGUCUAAAGCUGUAUAAUUCUAUGAUUGUUGUAAAAACAUCUGAAAACAAGAAAAUGCAAUAUUUCUACAAAGAGCUAAAGAUAAUUAACUGAAAUAAUUAAUAUGAGUUUCCAUAUUUGUUUUUAGGCAAGAAGAGGUGGUAUAUACAUAUCAAAUAAUUAAUUCCCUCCUUUAGUCAGUGAACAACUUUCUGCAAUGAAGUGUCCAAAAAAUGUAAGAGAGAAAAUUUAGGAACAGACUAUAUUCUAGAAUUACUGGCAAAAAUAGUUACAGUUUUCUAGGUUUGAUUUUGUUUUGUUCCCUUUCUAGAAAAACUAUAUUGGAUCAUUAUCUAAUUCUAGAAAGAAAAUUAACCAGAGUGGGAAAAGUUGUGUCAAACCUACUCUUACUCGAGAUCUAUGUUGUGAGAUAGGCAAGUUCUUUUUUCAAUUUGUAGCAGCACAAAACUCCAGUGUUUAAACCAGAAUCAGUUUUCUCUUUUCCCAAGAAUUUAUUUAUUUUUGGGGGGACAGAUAUUUAUUUGAGAUGAAUUGCUUUAUUUGUUUAUUUGUUAUUUUUAUGCUGUUUUAUGUUUAUUUUUUAUUUUCUAUGUUUUUAUAUUACUUGUUUUUUUACAUUGGUCAUUUAACAAUCUAAACUCUCUCUAGAGAAAAAAACAAUUUCCUCUCAUAAAGGGUACUAUGUGCUAAAAAGAAAUAUUGCUUAGUGUUUAACUCCUACCGGUUUUGUUAUUUUCUCUUUAUACAUCAGUAUGUUAUUAGUGUGCAGGAAUGUACUAGAAACUGUAUAAAGCAUUUAGACAGGAUUCCUAACAGGAUCCAUCUUCCUAGUAUAAAUGUAAUAAAUGUACCCCUUUGAAGAACAUGAGCAUGCUGUCCUGAAGUCUAUUCUGGGUCAGUGAGGCACAGCCUUCUACCUAAUUACUUCCUUCAGACGUAGAGGUCAUCUGCCUCCUCAUUCCUCGAUACACAUUUCCACAUCCUCAAAACCCCGUUGCAGAGAAGUCCAGACAAGACAGCAGCCAAAGGUCUCACAUAAAGGCUGCAGAACAGCUCGGCCGAGUCUCCGCCUCUCGGUGUUCCUGUCCCGUGACCAAGGGAGGGGCUCAAGGGGUGGGCCUUCCCUUUGCUCCUUGGAACUGGUUUGGGUGUAAAAUCCAACGAGAGGGUCUUCAAGCUUGGUGACUCUCAACACGCCCUUUGCGACUCCAACCUUGCACGUUUUAAUGGCAAUAAUGAACAAAUUUACAUGUACGCCCCCCACAUCAAUGUGUUAGACAAAGCUCCCUUCCAUUGGGUAAAAAUCCCAUCUCAAAUUUCGAACGGUGUAUUUGUCCAUGGGACGUCCAAACGGAAUACAGUCACAUAUGCUGAAGAACACCCCCGAUACAUCCACAUUCUGUGCUAUU